UACGGAGGGUGCGAGCGUUGUCCGGAAUCACUGGGCGUAAAGGGCGCGUAGGCGGCGCGGAAAGUCAACGGUGAAAGCUUGGGGCUCAACCCCGAGUCGGCCGUCUAUACUUCCGUGCUCGAGCACUGUAGAGGCAGGUGGAAUUCCGGGUGUAGCGGUGGAAUGCGUAGAGAUCCGGAAGAACACCGGUGGCGAAGGCGGCCUGCUGGGCAGUAGCUGACGCUGAUGCGCGACAGCGUGGGGAGCAAACAGG
rnacentral:rRNA from 1 species